GCUCACGUGGCGGAAUUGGUAGACGCGCUAGAUUCAGGUUCUAGUGGGGCAACCCGUGGAGGUUCGAGUCCUCUCGUGAGUACCA
rnacentral:tRNA from 1 species